rnacentral:tRNA from 1 species
GCCUUCGUGGUGCAGUGGUCAGCACGCUCGACUCAUAAUCUAAGAGAUCCGUGGUUCGAUUUCCGGCGAAGGCG